GGCAUCGGUACGCUCUAUACCCUUUGUGACAUACCUACAACUGUUGCUUCGGCGGGUAGGCCGUCCCCUGAAAAGGACGCCUCCCGGCCCGGACCGGACCCCCCGUGGGGCCGGACUCGGCGCCCGCCGGAGGAUAACCAAACGCUAUUUUAACGACGUUUCUUCUGAGUGGCAUAAGCAAAAUAAUCAAAACUUUUAACAACGGAUCUCUUGGUUCUGGCAUCGAUGAAGAACGCAGCGAAAUGCGAUAAGUAAUGUGAAUUGCAGAAUUCAGUGAAUCAUCGAAUCUUUGAACGCACAUUGCGCCCGCCAGCAUUCUGGCGGGCAUGCCUGUUCGAGCGUCAUUUCAACCCUCAAGCUCUGCUUGGUGUUGGGGCUCUACGGUCGACGUAGGCCCUCAAAGGUAGUGGCGGACCCUCCCGGAGCCUCCUUUGCGUAGUAACAUUUCGUCUCGCACUGGGAUCCGGAGGGACUCUUGCCGUAAAACCCCCCAAUUUUUCAAGGUUGACCUCGGAUCAGGUAGGAAUACCCGCUGAACUUAAGCAUAUCAAUAAGCGGAGGCAGAUCAU
rnacentral:rRNA from 1 species